CCGGCCCAGCUCCUACGGGAGGCAGCAGUGGGGAAUAUUGCACAAUGGCGGAAGCCUGAUGCAGCGACCCCGCGUGAGGGAUGACGGCCUUCGGGUUGUAAACUCUUUCAGUAGGGAAGAAGCGAGAGUGACGGUACCUGCAGAAGAAGCGCCGGCUAACUACGUGCCAGCAGCCGCGGUAAUACGUAGGGCGCAAGCGUUGUCCGGAAUUAUUGGGCGUAAAGAGCUCGUAGGCGGUUUGUCGCGUCUGCUGUGAAAGCCCGGGGCUCAACCCCGGGUCUGCAGUGGGUACGGGCAGACUAGAGUGCAGUAGGGGAGACUGGAAUUCCUGGUGUAGCGGUGAAAUGCGCAGAUAUCAGGAGGAACACCGAUGGCGAAGGCAGGUCUCUGGGCUGUUACUGACGCUGAGGAGCGAAAGCAUGGGGAGCGAACAGGAUUAGAUACCCUGGUAGUCCAUGCCGUAAACGUUGGGCACUAGGUGUGGGGGACAUUCCACGUUUUCCGCGCCGUAGCUAACGCAUUAAGUGCCCCGCCUGGGGAGUACGGCCGCAAGGCUAAAACUCAAAGGAAUUGACGGGGGCCCGCACAAGCGGCGGAGCAUGCGGAUUAAUUCGAUGCAACGCGAAGAACCUUACCAAGGCUUGACAUUCACCGGACCGCUCCAGAGAUGGGGUUUCCCUUCGGGGUCGGUGGACAGGUGGUGCAUGGUUGUCGUCAGCUCGUGUCGUGAGAUGUUGGGUUAAGUCCCGCAACGAGCGCAACCCUCGUUCUAUGUUGCCAGCACGUGAUGGUGGGGACUCAUAGGAGACUGCCGGGGUCAACUCGGAGGAAGGUGGGGAUGACGUCAAAUCAUCAUGCCCCUUAUGUCUUGGGCUUCACGCAUGCUACAAUGGCCGGUACAAAGGGUUGCGAUACUGUGAGGUGGAGCUAAUCCCAAAAAGCCGGUCUCAGUUCGGAUUGAGGUCUGCAACUCGACCUCAUGAAGUCGGAGUCGCUAGUAAUCGCAGAUCAGCAACGCUGCGGUGAAUACGUUCCCGGGCCUUGUACACACCGCCCGUCAAGUCACGAAAGUUGGUAACACCCGAAGCCGGUGGCCUAACCCCUUUGUGGGAGGGAGCCGUCGAAGGUG
rnacentral:rRNA from 1 species